CCUACGGGAGGCAGCAGUGAGGAAUAUUGCGCAAUGGGGGAAACCCUGACGCAGCAACGCUGCGUGGGCGAUGAAGGCCUUCGGGUCGUAAAGCUCUGUCAGAGGGGAAGAAAUGCAGGUGAUGAACAACCAUUCUGUUUGACGGUACCCUCAAAGGAAGCACCGGCUAACUCCGUGCCAGCAGCCGCGGUAAUACGGAGGGUGCGAGCGUUGUUCGGAAUUAUUGGGCGUAAAGCGCGUGUAGGCGGUUUGUUAAGUCUGAUGUGAAAGCCCCGGGCUCAACCUGGGAAGUGCAUUGGAUACUGGCAGACUUGAGUACGGGAGAGGAGAGUGGAAUUCCCAGUGUAGGAGUGAAAUCCGUAGAUAUUGGGAGGAACACCGGUGGCGAGGGCGGCUCUCUGGACCGAUACUGACGCUGAGACGCGAAAGCGUGGGGAGCAAACAGGAUUAGAUCCCCGUGUAGU
rnacentral:rRNA from 1 species